CUCUAAUAAUCCUGUCAUUCCGUAUUUCCUAGUAGCAGUUCACCAGUUACCAACACUUUAUUUUAUGAGAUUUGGCCACAUUGAGGCAUCACCACAUGGCAGUAAUGGUGCAGUUGAAUUUCUAUGCCAUAAGGGAUAUUGGAAAUAUACACUUACUGCCUUGGCCACGGAAAGGACUGAACGAAAAUCAUUAUUGUCAAUGUUUUUUGAACACUUGACAAAGUUUCC